UAAUACGUAGGCAGCAAGCGUUGUUCGGAGUUACUGGGCGUAAAGGGUGUGUAGGUGGCGCGCUAAGUUCCGUGUGAAAUCUCUGGGCUUAACCCAGAGGCUGCUUUCAAAACUUCCGUGCUCGAGUGCGAGAGAGGUCAGUGGAAUUGCAGGUGUAGCGGUGAAAUGCGUAGAUAUCUGCAGGAACACCCGUGGCGAAGGCGGCUGACUGGAUCGCAACUGACGCUGAGGAACGAAAGCUAGGGGAGCAAACAGGAUUAGAUACCCUGGUAGUCCUAGCCCUAAACCAUCAGGACUUGGGGUGGCCCGCGUAGGCGGGUCGUCCCGUAGCUAACGCGUUAAGUUCUGCGCCUGGGGAGUACGGUCGCAAGACUGAAACUCAAAGGAAUUGACGGGGGCCCGCACAAGCGGUGGAACAUGUGGUUCAAUUCGACGCAACGCGAAGAACCUUACCUGGGCUUGAACCGCUAUUGACCAACGGUAGAAAUAUCGUCUUCCCGCAAGGGACAGGAGUAUAGGCGCUGCAUGGCUGUCGUCAGCUCGUGCCGUGAGGUGUUGGGUUAAGUCCCCGCAACGAGCGCAACCCCUGCACGUAGUUGCCACCCGCAAGGGGGAACUCUACGUGGACUGCUCCGGAUAACGGAGAGGAAGGUGGGGAUGACGUCCAGUCCGCAUGGCCUUUAUGUCCAGGGCUACACACGUGUUACAAUGCAGGGCACAAACCGUUGCCAACCCGCGAGGGGGAGCUAAUCGGAAAAAACUCUGCUCAGUUCGGAUUGCAGUCUGCAACUCGACUGCAUGAAGCCGGAAUCGCUAGUAAUGGCGUAUCAGAUCGACGCCGUGAAUACGUUCCCGGGCCUUGUACACACCGCCCGUCACAUCACGAAAGUGAGCUGUACUAGAAGUCGCCGAGCUAACCGCAAGGAGGCAGGCGCCCAAGGUAUGACUCAUGAUUGGGGUG
rnacentral:rRNA from 1 species